GCCUUUGUGGAUCAGUGUUAAAUCACCUCUCCUAAGUAUUUGAGUGCGCAGUUUCCACUGCAAGACGAGACGUGGGUUCAAAUCCCACCUGAGGCA